AAGAAAGCUAUACCGAGUGAUGUACCAGGGACAUCUGGUGACCUUCACUUGGAUCCGUCACAUGUAACGUAAGUCAAUGGAGCAAGAUGGCAGCAGCAUCAACGUGCACUAACCACAUCUACAGGCUGGGUGCCCUUUGCAGCGCACUUGCUGAACAACGCUGUGGGAAUCAAUCGGGCUUGCGUGGGAGCAGCACCGACGGCAAAGGCCUCCCCCUCGCUUGCUGUGGGAAGUGCGGAGGUGCAGGCUGCAGGUCUGCUGUGUCCGUGGAGGAAUCUACACUGGAGAGUAAAACAGUUUG
rnacentral:lncRNA from 1 species